rnacentral:lncRNA from 1 species
UGCCUAUGUUCUACAAGUGCUCCUUGACACGAACCCUGCUUAUUUUAACCUGCAGUGCACAAGGGUUCAUCAAUUCUUUGAGCUGUACAUCGUAUAAUCUUGUUGGAUCUUUCUGAAAACACUGUUGCACUCUAGGGAAUUGAAUGUGUGUUCUGUUUGUUAGAAAAUGCUUUUGCCAAAGGUAAUUAUACUAUGCAUGCUAGUUUUAAUGUUACCCGUGGGCAAAAAAUAGUGAGGUUGGAAUUAUUUGUGCUAUUUUGGCUGUUCAGAAGAUUGUUGUGUGCCCACGUUUGAGACUAUAUAAAUGAUGCAACAUAACAAGAUAUUUCUUCUCAAAGGAUGAGGAUGAUUUUGAGGGCAAUAGCUGAAGAUGUUGAACUGAGCUUUUUUCUAAAGGAAAAACUGAAUGUUCUUCCAUCCGUUUUAAAGAAAAUCAUCGUCCAUAUUUCUACAAAUCACAGCAACAAUAACAAGGAUACGUAUGCACUAUGUCCUGGUAGCAGAUUGCUAACUAGGAUGCAUUGUAUAGUCCUGAUCAGCCAACUAAAGAUCAGAAAGUAACAUCUAUGCUGCUCAACUGCACGUGCAAAUAUGGGUAUCUUGUGAUAUAACUAUAAGUGCUUGGCUGUUUCAUGAAGUUAUUGUUUACAUCAGUUUUGUAGAGCAUGAGCAUAUCCUUUGAAGGUUGAACCCCAAAUGCGGCCAUGGAACAUAUAUGUGUGCAAAAGUUAUGGUAAUGAAGGCAAUAUUCUGUUACUGCAACAGCCAAAAUGAUUAUUGUUAAGUGCAUGCAACUUUAUCUGCUAAGUCCUCAAGUAUGAAGUCUUCAACUACAUGUUGCAUAUUAUUUCCUAAGCCUGCUGUCAACAGACCUAAUGUUCUGGACUCUUGCCUACAGGCUACGGCCUUUUACAUGGAUGAUCUGGUAAACUAAAAAUACCUCAAAGUUCAGCUUCUUGAGCUCGUGGGGCCUUCAUAUGAAAAAUAGAAUUUGGUAAGUCCCUCGAGUAUACUAAAUUAUGCUUUAGUUCCUUCUUUUUCCUUUUUGUUAUGGACUAUUCUGAAAUGUUUACUUCGGUGAAGUGGUGAACACUUACAUUACAUCUUUAUUGAUAUUUUUGCCACAAGAUGUAAUGAGAAAGGUAGUGGCAGAAAUGUGCAGUGUUUGGUAUUCUGAAAACAUGUUAAAUCAGUUCAAGAUGUUGAGACACAAUCGAAUUAUAAAUGUUUUCAUGUGAGGCCAUCCCAAAUGAUGCAGAUAUCAUUCAAUUCAUGCUGUUGCUUAGUAAAUUACCGAGCCGCUAUGAAAUGUCCAUGAUAAUAGCAUGCAUCACUUCAGUAUUUUCUAAUUGUGUGUAACUUGUUCCCUUUAGUAAAUUUGCUAUCCUGGUGAAAAAUGAAAUGCUACCUUUGGACACUCUUUUUUAUUUAUUAGAUUAUAAAGGAGAUGUACAUAUCUGACAUGGUUUUUGCAGAUAAUAAACUGUUAUUCUGUUAAUUGGCAAGCUCUAGUGCACAAGUAAUUUUAAUUCUCAUUAUUAUGCUAUAAGAACUUGUUUCCUUAUACUUUGUUUCAUUUAUUAUAGUGUAAUGGAAAUUUUCUUCACAGAUUUCUUCUUUUCUUUCUUCAUGCAGCAAACAUUGAUGGAAAAGAUAAAUAAGAAGAUCUACAAGUGCCAUUCUUUUUUGAAAAAAUACAAGCGCCAUUCUCAAUCAGUUUAGUUAGCAUUACAGAUAGUUAGAUAUCAUAGUUAUGUUUUUCUUUUUACCAUGAAUUAUGUUUUUACUUGUCAUGCUUUCCAUGGCUCAGGAGCACAACUUCUUUUUCUGCUGGACCACAAGCUAUCCUGCUCAAGUGUGAAAUGCAAGCUUGCCUAACUAUUGCUGACAACAGUGUAAGAGCUUCACUUUUGUCGAUCUUCGGAAUUCAUUUACAAAAGGCAGCUACUGUGAAAAGUCUCCUAAUGUUCCUCUGGUUUCUAGAUCAAACAUUGCAUGGCAGCAGUAUUGGCAUGAAGGUUUGGUUGAAUCAACGGGGGUUCUGGCACUUAAGAAGUCAACAAGAAACUACUACUCUAUUCAUCGGAGCAAUUUCAGAUAUUCCUGCUUGGGUCCUACUCGUUCUAUGAUCUACCUGUUGAUUGGCAGGUCCGGCCAGUGCCGUCUUAAGCAGCUGUGAACCAAGUGCUCCUUCACAAUGCACUCAUCUAGUUCAACAGAAUAGCUGCAUGAAAUCGAUGGUGCUCACACCCGCAAGCACUCAUUCCGUAUGAGGUGAGAGAUACACUUUUCUCAGGCCCUUUUGUGAUGUCAGUAGACAUUAUAAAUGCCGUGUUUUUUUCUGGGGAGAAAUAUUGAUCAAGCUUUUUUUCCUUGUUGAUCUCUUUUGCAGGAAUUAUGUCCCAAAUCUUGCCAAGAUUACAGUUAUCUUCAGAAUCAAUCGCUACUGUACAUCAUUUGGUUUGAUGUUGAGCAAGGUUUGCAGCAUUCGUCAGGUUCUUGCCAACGCAAGGAUGGCAGGACGAAGCUAAGUUGAAGAUUCUGGCAAAAUCGACCAGGGCAUUAUUGUACUUGUGGACAUCCAACAUCCUCAAAAACUCAGAGCAUGCUUUAGAGAUUAGGGAAGGGGGUCUAACGAUCUACUGCUGUUUGAGACCUCUAAUGUUAUUAGCUGGAUUGUUUUCAGUAAUACUUAUGGUUGUGCACUGAUAUGUUGCCGAGAGUAUUUUGGCAAUCGCUCUGAAAAUGGAAAGACCACCGUUUAUGUACUUUGUGAUGAUUUUGGCAAAAAGAAAACAAAAAAAAUGUUUAAACGAUAUUGUUUCUUACAGUACAUUUUAAAAAUUAACCAUCAGGUGAAACAUAUCAUCCAAUCAAAUUGCUGGGUAAAUUUUGACAUUUUUUUCCCCACCUCUUUGCUAAUAAGGCUGGAUACGGUGUUUAAAAUUUCAAACUAUAAUAUUUUCAAAAUAUUUUGUCAACUGUUUUAGAAACUUUACUACGUGCAUACAAAUGAAAAAAAAAAAGGUCUCUCCACGAUUUAUAACAUAACAAAAAGAAAAAUAGUGAAGGAAAAAAGAAGGAAUACCUAGAGAAAGGAGGCCCUCUUCUUCUCAAACCCAAUCCGUCAAGUCGUCUUGUGGGCCCAGGCUUCGCAGGACCUCGCCGCCGGCGAUGGCAGCUUCGAUUCCCUUCUCCGCUCGCUCUCUGCGGCCUCACGGGACUCUGCUGCAGCCGCCGAACCCAACCUCCUCAGAUCCGUAACAGCAUCUCCCUUCCAUCCCCUCUACAAAUCUCCUGCUGUACACGAGCAUUCCUAGGAUUGCU